AGUUCCUGCUUAUAACUACAUGUGCUCAGCUCGUAAAUGCGAUCUUUACUUAAACAUAAGUUGAACUUAAUCGCUUCAAAUACUAUAUUUGAUCGCAUAAAGCAGUUAGCAUUAUAAACGUUGCCGUUAGGGGCGUUAUAACGUGACUGUAUUCUAUUUUACAAUGAGUUUUCUUUCUCGAGUCUCGAGUCAAUGGGGGAGACAAUCAUGCCCGGAAAGUGAAGUCAAGUAUGUAUAUUAUAGAAAUUUACCUUAACAGUAACACAUAAUGCUUGAAUUUGUUACGUCCAGAUAAACCCAGGUAACGUUACAUUAUGUUCAAACGGAACACGCAUUGGCCAAGCGCUCGCGUAUGUGCCUAAAUUAUAGCAUAGCCUAAUUUUCAUUUUUGCGUGAACUAGCUCGUUAACCCGAUACGCUGGGCUGUGUGCGUGGGUGUACGUGACAGCACGUGUAGGGUUACUCAUAAUGACUCAUUCUUUUAUCCACAUAGGUCAUUCUCUCCCCCUCACCUCGUGCAUGAACUCACUGUUAUCUGAGGACUACUCCAGUGGUAUGACCUGGAUUUCUCCCUCUCUAGGCCCAUGCUGUGCACAGUUGGGGGGCCUGAAGCUCCAGCAGCCACUUAUUUAGGGAAAGAAAAGCAAAAUCUUCAGUCUUCCAGCCUCACUUUCUUGUUACAAAGCCACUGAGGACUGAACACGGUCUUGGUCUGGUUAUUAAUUUUCUUAAGUUUUUUUUUAACGUCAUUGUAUAUCCUUCUGGACCUAGACAUCAAACUCGGAUCAGGAGAUUCCAGUUUGAGUUAAUCGACAUGCAAAUAUUCCAGCCAUUUCACGACUAGCUUGGAAUAAUAUAUAUUUCUGAGGAGGAGAUGUAGAUCUGAGGUAUGUAAAGUUAUGGGUUCAGUUAUAACCAAUUCUGUGUAACGGAACGCUAUUCUGACAAUACACUGAGUUGCUAAUAUUUGAGGAUUCCCACUCAUUAUAAAAGCAUAAUGAUAUAAUGGGUUUGAGGAGAAUUGUCAUAAUUCGAUCAAUGCGGUACCUGAGGUAGAAUCGUACAGCUUUUAGAAGCUCAUCAAUAUUUGGCUCACCUCUCUGGGUGUGCAGUAUAAGAGCAGCUUUGUGGUGAAAUAUCAUUUAAAGUCAGCAUAUGCUCACAUUUUCAUAUUCUUGUUGGCUCGAGUUCAAAUCCUUGCCAUAGUGGAGAGUCUGGGAUGUUUGGUUUGGUGGGAAGCCAAUGCUGAAAAUGCCAUAAUAGUCACUGCGGGCCUAGCAGCAACUAAAUUUACAACCUAUUCAGAACACAUGAAUAUGGGUUUGAAUACAGGCUAAAUUGUUUGAAAUUUCUCUAGUCUAAAUCUGUGAUUUAAAAUCAACCCUGAAAAAACACUUUCCUCAGCUGGGUGAAAAUGAAAACACGACAAAGAACUGCAUCUGUGAGUGCAAUAUAACCAAAGUGUAAAUCUUAGUCUUUGUAGUAUCUUUGUGCUGUUAGAUUCAACACAAGCAAGGGCAUGCAUGAAAUGGGCUGUUUCGCUGCACGUUGCAGAAUAUCAGUUUAGGGUGAUUACAAGACUUCAAUGCAAACUGUUAUUAGAUGAAGGACAAUUUAUAAUCCCUUGUAUCCGUCUAGAAAGAAUGCAAGAACACUGGUAUUAAACAGAUUCACAUGAAACACGGACCUGAACAGGAGCUCUACGAGUAUUGAACUGUAAAUUCUUGCAUAUCCCUUUCAGUACAACAUGACUUCAUUCUGUAUGUUAAUCUGAAUAAUUAUGUCUGAUUUCCAUCUUGAUGUAAUUUGCUGCGGAUUA
ensembl:lncRNA